GAUGAAGAACGCAGCGAAAUGCGAUAAGUAAUGUGAAUUGCAGAAUUCAGUGAAUCAUCGAAUCUUUGAACGCACAUUGCGCCCCCUGGAAUUCCGGGGGGCAUGCCUGUUCGAGCGUCUCAGGGACGAACCCUCGCGCGGGUGUACGCGCGGUCGUGGCUGCGGUGGCGUGCCCGAGGCGGCGGCCACCGCGCUGGAAUCCAUGGGCGGACGCCUGCCGCGUGGCCGAGCGUGAUAUGACGCAUUGGCGCUCGCACGCGGAGAGGCUGCCAGCCCUGGCCCGUCUGUCGGGCGGGGGAGAGCAAAGACAUUGGAACUCCUCGAAUCAGGCAGGGAUACCCGCUGAACUUAAGCAUAUCAAUAAGCGGAGGA
rnacentral:misc_RNA from 1 species